rnacentral:rRNA from 1 species
ACAGGGAUUGCCCUAGUAACGGCGAGUGAAGCGGCAACAGCUCAAAUUUGAAAUCUGGCUCUCGGGCCCGAGUUGUAAUUUGUAGAGGAUACUUUUGAUGCGGUGCCUUCCGAGUUCCCUGGAACGGGACGCCAUAGAGGGUGAGAGCCCCGUCUGGUUGGAUGCCAAAUCUCUGUAAAGUUCCUUCAACGAGUCGAGUAGUUUGGGAAUGCUGCUCUAAAUGGGAGGUAUAUGUCUUCUAAAGCUAAAUACCGGCCAGAGACCGAUAGCGCACAAGUAGAGUGAUCGAAAGAUGAAAAGCACUUUGAAAAGAGAGUUAAAAAGUACGUGAAAUUGUUGAAAGGGAAGCGUUUAUGACCAGACUUGGGCUUGGUUAAUCAUCUGGGGUUCUCCCCAGUGCACUUUUCCAGUCCAGGCCAGCAUCAGUUUUCCCCGGGGGAUAAAGGCGGCGGGAAUGUGGCUCUCUUCGGGGAGUGUUAUAGCCCACCGUGUAAUACCCUGGGGGGGACUGAGGUUCGCGCAUCUGCAAGGAUGCUG